rnacentral:misc_RNA from 1 species
AACGUAGGACGCAAGCGUUAUCCGGAGUUACUGGGCGUAAAGCGCGCGCAGGUGGACUGUUAAGUUAGCCAUGAAAGCUCCCGGCUAAACUGGGAGAGGCUGGUUGAUACUGGCAGUCUUGAGUGAGUGAGAGGGAAGUGGAAUUCCGCGUGUAGUGGUGAAAUGCGUAGAGAUGCGGAGGAACACCAGAGGCGAAGGCGGCUUCCUGGCACUUUACUGACACUGAGGCGCGAAAGCAUGGGUAGCGAACGGG